UACGGGGGGUGCAAGCGUUGUUCGGAAUUAUUGGGCGUAAAGGGUCUGUAGGUGGCUUGUUAAGUCAGACGUGAAAUCCCUCAGCUUAACUGGGGAACUGCGUCUGAGACUGGCGAGCUUGAGGGCAGGAGAGGAACGCGGAAUUCCAGGUGUAGCGGUGAAAUGCGUAGAUAUCUGGAGGAACACCGGUGGCGAAGGCGGCGUUCUGGACUGCAUCUGACACUGAAAGACGAAAGCCAGGGGAGCAAACGGG
rnacentral:rRNA from 1 species